CACAAGGGAAAGCCAGUAAAUGUUAAUGUGAGUCCGUUUGUUUACAACUAUGCAGCCAGUGAAACUCAAAUCCAUGAAGACCCGAAUGUGGCUCUUUUCUUUCUGGAAAAGGAUAUGCACCCCGGGGCAACAAUGAGCCUGCAUUUCACUGAAAAUACAGAGAAAUCAGCUUUCUUACCUUAUCAAACUGCCCAAAAAAUACCGUUUUCAUCUGACAAGUUGCCAGAAAUUUUCAACAAGUUUUCAGUGAAACCUGGAUCACUGAAGGCAGAGAUGAUGAAGAACACAAUUAAGGAGUGCGAACAGCCAGCGAUUGAAGGAGAGGAAAAAUAUUGUGCAACCUCACUGGAGUCAAUGAUUGACUAUAGCAUUUCCAAACUAGGGAAAGUUGAUCAGGCAGUCUCAACAGAAGUGGAAAAACAAACCCCAACGCAGCAGUAUACAAUAACAGCUGGAGUGCAGAAGAUGACAAAUGGCAAAGCUGUAGUGUGCCACAAACAGAAUUAUGCAUAUGCUGUCUUCUAUUGUCAUAAAUCAGAAACAACAAGGGCUUACAUGGUUCCUUUAGAGGGUGCUGACGGAACAAAAGCCAAAGCAGUAGCAGUCUGCCACACAGAUACAUCAGCAUGGAACCCAAAGCAUUUGGCUUUUCAAGUCCUAAAAGUUGAGCCAGGAACCAUUCCUGUCUGCCAUUUCCUUCCUCGGGAUCACAUUGUUUGGGUCCCUAAGUAAAAGUCCUGAAGAGUAGAUUCAUACACUAUAGUUUCUUCACAGUGUGCAUUAAAACAGCUUAAAGCAAUAUCCAGUUUGUUCUAUAAUAAUAUACCCACAAGUUUAGUCAUGUAAAAUCUAUCCAUGAAUCAUGUUCUUAGUAAUGGAUAAAAUGAUAUUACUUUCUGUAUCACAAGGGUUUGGUGAUAAAUGUAUUAGUAUUUUAAGUAACUUUUCAGACAUCGUAUUCCAAGUAACUUUGCGGACAUUAUGUUUCUCCAUUAGAUUACUAAUUCUCUUUCAUCUCAGAUUAGCCAUCUCCACAGGAAAAUUCUCUGAAGGUAAACUAUCAUGUUCAUCACUCGAUUGCAAUCUGAGAAGAAAUUGUUUUUCCUAUGUCCCAACAGCAGAAAAAUUUUGGACCAAUUUACAUGAUACAUAUGAGAAUUUUCUAAACAGAGUGUCAUGUCAUGUAUCUCGAAGGAUGCUAACUUAAUAUAGUAAGACCAGCAUUAAAAUCUUUUCAGAUAUGAGUAGGUUCCAAAGUACACAAAUUUGAGAACCUGUACGGAACAAACCAUUGUGUGCACUGUGCAGCUCUUCGUGUCUGAUUCCUCCACCACUGUGAUGAGCAGCUGCAGCAUCCUCAGUGGCUAACCUCAGGCCCUUGAAAGACUUAUUCAACAGAUUAUGGUGAUAAGUCAAAUAAUUAUAAAUGACGUCGGCUCCACGGAUCCUUUUAUUCCUGCAAUGCGGAUAAAUGCCCAAGAAUGUUUUAUAAUUAGAAAUGCCUGGAGAAACAAACAAAACCUAUUGGUUAGUUGUGUAAUAUAAUUAUAUACGUGUAUAUGUAUAUAUAGAAACAUGAUUCAUGAGGUUGCUUUAAUCAUUUUCUUCCCCAAUAAUCUGAGUUUUACUGCUCUCUAAUGAUUAUUACUAUCCAAUAAAGAAAAAUGACAUCUUAAACCCAAUGUUGGUUUGCCAAAAAAACAAUCCAACAACAAUAUUUGUUUUCUGAUCACCAAAUUGCAGUGCUGAAUUUUUUUUUAAACGAGUGGAUGAGACAAAUCUCCACCAAAGCAAAUGGUUAUGAAACAAAUGGGGUGCAAGGGGUGUCUUCAGAUGCUUAUGAAUUUGGUUUACAGGCGAGAUAGAUCACAAAUAUUAUAUUGAUAAAAAAAAUAGAGAUCGUUCGUGGAAAAUCAUUAGUGGAAUGAAGGAGUUAAAGUUCACAUGGUAUUCAUAGAAUGAAUUGAAAGAGUUGAGAGUUUUGAGAGAAAAUUUCAGAAAAAUAAUAAGUGGGGUGUGCAUGUUUUUCUAGAUUAUUUGAAGGCAUGUACGUAAUUAUGCACAAUUUAUGGAAUAUAAGUGUUUUAUAUGUAUAAUAUAUUUAUUAAGUUACGAUGAAUCCUUUCACACGUUACUUUUAAAGUUAAUAUUGAUAUGAUUGGACGAGACCCACAUAUUGAACAUAUAAAAAAUAAGUAUCAAUAAUCAUGUAAAAUAAAAUGUAGUCUUCAAAAUAAGUGAAUUUUUUUAAUCAAAAUAGAUUGACUUGACGAAAUCUUUUAAAACUAAAUAAAUAAAUAUCAUCUUACAUAUAUUUAUAUAUGUGUGCAAUAUACAUAAAUGUACCCUUAGCCCACCAAAACUUUCUUUCGCAAAUUUUAGACGGCGAACCAAAACCAAGGUACCUAACCACGUCCUACAAACCAGAUGUUCGUAUAGGUUAGAUGCAGGAUUAAGAAGCCACAACCUAUAAGGCUAAAACUUGCCACAUGCCCAUAUGACAUCUUACUCUCAAAAAAAAGAAAAAACAUGACAUUCAACUCAAAUCCUGUACAAAUACCUUUAUUUGUAAGAAGAAAUUAUCUCAUUUAUUGACUAUAAUUAUUAGAUUUUACAAGUAAAAUUUACGAAGUGGCACAGAUAUUUGUCCAAUGAUAUCCGCUAUAUAGAUGAAAAGUAUAAAAAAUUAUAUAUUUUUCUUUUAAAUGAAAGCUAAAUUAAAGAAAAAAACAAUUAUAUGGCUGAUUGUUUUUAUUGUAUUUUAAAAAAAGUUAAGUGAGUAGGUUUUUUACCCUGUGAUUCCCAAAAAAAAUGUUGUCAUUGAGGAUUGUUACCUAUACACAGAUAAAUUCAAGAGCAAGCAAAGGGUCGUAAACAUUGUAGAUUGGAGCAUUUCAUGAAACAUAGUUAUAACUUACAAGCUAGAGUAUCAUCCCAUGACCCAUAGCAGUCUUCUAUAUUAUUGGGUUUUUGCAAACUUGGGCUUGAAUACACAAAUAGUAUAUAAUUACAGAAAACUUUGUUUUUUGUGUAUUGAAUUUGGGUUUAUGCUUCAUUUUAUUAUCGACAAUGAUAUCAGAACCUAUUUUAAAUCCAACAUCAUGACGAUUGUUUAAUAAUAUUUUGUCCCCUAACUAAUUGGCAAUUGAAAACUUCUACCCUUUGUAUGCAUGAUUAGUUUAGAAAUUUUGUGCAUAAUUAUCAAGCAACGUCGUGAUUACAAUUCUUGAACUCGAUUCCAUGAUAAGGAGUUUAAAUUUUAAAGUCGACCAAAGCAAGUUAGUAUCUUUCACUCUUUUAACAUAUAUUUCCAACUUCAUAUAUAAACAUUUAUUUAUACUCAUGGUUUAGAAACAGGGCUGAAAAAACUCUCUUGAAAGCAGAUAUCAUUGGCGGCAGCCAUGGGUUUAUGUGAAGAAGAAAAGAUGCCUCUAUCUCUACGAGUAGAAUUAUUGCAGUGGGUCACACCUUCGCUUUCAUUUACUUCAACUUCUCAGGUAAUAUUCCAACAUUACAGCGUUGAAUUGUUUGCAAAUUUAUUUACCUCAUAGUCCCACUUUCUUUGAUCUCUCCUUGUCCUAACCACGUUGGAUUUUGAACCAUUUGGUCUUAUAUUACAUAACAUACAAAUGAAAAGAAAAGAAAAACAUUUGCGAUUCCGACCAUAAAUAAAUAAUGUUCUGUUCUGUAACGAGAAACAGCCAAAGCUUCCAGCACUUACAAUAAUAAUAAAAGUAAUGAGGGUAAAGGCUUCAAAGUUUUUUUUUUUUUUUUGUUUUUUUUAAAUAAAGGAUAAGGAGUAAGGAUUAUCUUAUGAUCCAACUUAACGUUAGUGUUUAAUUGAAAAUUUAAAUACAAUAACUUCAAGAUAGAGUACAGUGUCCGCGUGGUGUUUGUUUUUCUACCUUCUCUGCAGGAUCCGAAACUUCCAAUUCAAGUUUCUUGCUAUAGAUAAGGUGUUUCGUAAGAAAACGUAAGUCUUAAAAGAGUUACAAGACAGCCCCAGUUAUAUGGCCCUUGCUAGAUUCAUAGUUACUUUCCCAUGUACCGACUCUAAAGUGAAUGACUUUUUUUUCUUUGCAUAACACCUUUUUUUUUCCCCGAAAAGGAUAGGUAUCAAAAUGAUAUAUUUAUUUUAGGGCCAACACUCAGAACCACUUUUUGACCACUCAUAGUUUAGUUAAAAUCAAAUUUCGUUCUCUGUCUUUUGACACACUAUUUUCUCUGUCUAUUGAAAUGCUCUUCUGCUGUUGUUAGCACGCUUUCGUCUCUUGUUUUGCUUGUUGUUUAUUUUCUUUGAUUUAGUCAUUAUUGUAGUUAAGAACAUUGAUGAUUCUAUAGCAGACCUGUCACUCGAGUAUGAUGAAGAUGAAACCAUUCAAUUUGGGGCCGAAUCUUCAGAGAGUGAAACCUUGUAUGCUAAUUGUUUUGUAGGAAUGUUUCUUACCUCCAGUGUAGUUAAUUUCCAAGCGAUGAGAUUGACUUUGGCUAAUUUUUGGCAUCCCAUAGAGGGAGUCUCAAUCUCGAAUCUAGGCAAUGAAAGAUUCUUAUUCAAAUUUUAUUUUGAAGUUGACGUGAACAAAGUUGAAAAAAAUGGGUCAUGGAAUUUCAAUUCUCAUCUAUUGGUGCUACAUCGGUUAAAGGAAGAGGAAGACCCUUUAUCUGUUCAAUUAAAUUGGGUAGACUUUUGGAUGCUUAUCCAUGAUCUUCCCCUUGGUUUCAUGUCUGAAGCGGUUGCUAGACAGUUGGGUAGUUUUAUUGGUGUUUUCCUUGAAUAUGAUGCAUCAACGACUCAAUUGGGUUAUAAAAGAAUAAUGAUGUUAAAUGUGCGAAUUGAUGUUAGAAAACCAUUGAAAAAGAAGAAGAAACUCACCCUCUCGAAUGGUGAGUCAAUUUAUGUUCGAUUUGAAUAUGAAAAACUCACUUUAUUUUGUUUCCUUUGUGGUAAACUAAGGCAUGGUAAAACUUUUUACCCGAUCAGAGCUCACAAUCCGCUACAAGAGUAUGUUUUCCGUUGGGAUAUAUCUUUACGUGCUCAGUUAAGGAAAAUUUUGGCUUGGAAGAGUAGAUGGUUGGUGGAGGAUGACGAUUGUGGUACUUCAAUUUAUGGAAACUAUAACACCCCUAACCCUUAUCCGUCGCCGGAACAGGGUUACAAAACAUUACCGGACUUUAUAGAUUAAAUAUGAACAUUUCACAACUUUUAUUAUACAUGUCAAGAAUCAGUUAUAAAACACUCAUGUUGUCCCUUAGAUGGACCCUUAAGGCACAAUAUACACUUUAGAAAUGAAUUGGGACUAAACCGGAUACUUAGGGAAUUUUUCCUAAAAUCUCAAAAAAAUUUCUUAAAAGUAGGGGACACACGUCUGUGUGGCUCACACAGCCAGGAGACACACCCGUGUCUUAAGCCGUGUGGGCAUUCGAUGUGAGGCACACAACCGUGUCUCAGCCCGUGCCCUUACCCGUGUAACUCUCUGACUUGGGUCACACGGCCAUCCACAUGCCCGUAUGCUAGGCCGUGUGCAAGAUGCAGGGGUCACACAGCCAAGCCACACACCCGUGUGCUAAGCCGUGUGUAAAAACUUGAGCAUUCUGUUUUAAAAUUUUAAGGUGCAGGGGACACACGGCCAGACCAUACGCCCAUGUGCCAGGCCGUGUGGACGAAAAUAGACCAUUUUCAAUACAUCAAAUAGCCCCAAUCAAACAAUCAACACAAGCCAAAAAUCAUGUUUUAAACAUAAUAUAUCAUCACAAAACUCAAUUGUCAAAACUUACCAAAAUAACUACAUUCAUUGAUUUACCAAAAUCUACUACUAAAUAUAUGCAUACUAACAUAUAUAUAUGUCAUUCACAACAAUACUUCAAAUUUAGCUCUUUUCUAACUCAGCCCUAUACAUGUCAUAUAAACCACAAAAUGUAUAACAAAAUCUACCGAAGCAAACUAGAUAGUGUGGCUCUAUGUGUUGAUCCGAUGCUUUAAACUUCUUAAAAAUCUAAAAAGAACAUUAAACGACACAAUAAGUUUAAUGAAGCAUAGUAAGUUCGCUGGCUUUAAAUAUAAAUCUUACCGAACAUACUAUAAUAAUUUAUUUAGGUAAAUUAUUUCACAAACAUUUCCUGCCAAUCACAACUUCAAUUAAUGAAUUCACUCAUUUGAGCUCAAUAUCAAUAAUAACUUAAAUUCUUCCACAUUAAUUUCAUUUGGCACUUACCAAUCAUUAUCAAACCAGAAAACGUCUUACGGAUUUGAGUACAUCGUAAACAGAAACCCAUAAGGGUUCAUCUAAAGCUCAAAAGAGCUAAACGGAAACCCAUUAGGGUUAAACUGAAGCUCAAAAGAGCUGAACUGAAAUCCAGAAGCGUUAAUUUGAAACUCAUGAGUUUACUGAAGCUCAUGAGAGCUAAACGGAAAGCAAAUACGAGAGUUCCCAACAAAUGUUGAACCUCGGUUUACUUGGGUAAUUUUACCGUCAAUUCCUCUUUUGCACUAAACGACUAUACUCAAUCCUGCGUUCCAUUCACUUCGAACACUUGAUGCAAUUUCAUAAAUUUAAUAAUAAUUUUAUUUUCAACAAAUGUUACGAAUAAAUACAAAAAACCAUUCAUCAAUUAACAUAUCACAUUAAAUUUUAACCAUUAGAACUUACCUGGGUUAAAUUGUGGAAAUUGUAAUGGUUCAGAGAUUAUUUGGCUAUUUUCCCCUUUUUCGCGUUGGUAUAAGGGCUCUUGAUCUAAAAUAUAAAAUUAUCCAUUCAUUAGCACAUGCUUCAAUUCUAAUUCACUUCACAAUUUAUACCACUCAAUUUUUGAAAUUAUACAAUUACCUCAACUUUUACAGUUUUUGUAAUUUAGUCCAUCGCCAAUUAACUCAUCAAAUAAGCUAAUUUUUCUCAAGUAACACUUUAUCUAAAUAUUUUAAACUAUUACACAGCCUUUGAUAAACAUAAUUUAAUACUAAAACCUAAAAUUUAAUUUUUUUACAAUUUGGUCCUAAAAUCAAUUUCCCUUGAAAGCACUUGAUAAAAUCAUCAUAUAACAAAAUUAAAACUUCAAAUCCAUGUUAAUUCAUCAUAAAAAUGCAGCACUCAUCAAUGGUAGCUUUCAAGAUUACUCAUAAAAUCAAAAACUAAUGAAUUAGAUAGUUAGACCUAAUUACAGAAGUCUUAAAAACACAAAAAUUUUAAGAAAAGAGCAAGAAUUGAGCUCACAUGUAGCAAAAUAUGAAAACCAGCUUCUUAAGGGUUCUUCAAUGGUGUUUUUGGCUGAUAAAUUGAAGAAGAAUAACUUAGAAAAGUUUAGAAUUCAAUUUAUUUAAGUUUAUUUCACAAAAUUUACAAUUUUGCCCUUUAAUCACAUGAUUUUUGUUUUCUUUUCUGCUUAUGCCGCCUCAGGCCUUUGUUUUAGGCAUAAUUGCUCCUUAAGUCCUUCUUUGUUCAUUAAUUAAGUCAUUUAAUCAAUAUUUCUUUAAUUAGCAAGUUUUGCACCUUUUUCUAAUUUAAUAUUUUUUAAUUAAUUAACUAUCGAAACGUUAAAAUUUUCUAACGAAAUAUUUAUAAAAAUAUUUACAGCUCAGUUUAUAAAAUCGAGAUCUCGAUACCUCGUUUUCAAAACUAGUUAAUCUAACAAAUAUUUCUAAAGCAUAAAUCAUUAAUUCAUAAGCCUUCUUAAAUUCAGAAUCGAAUAAAAAACACUAUAUAAUAAAAUUUAUGAACUAAUUUAUCGGAUUUAGUGUUCUCAAACUACUAUUUUCGAAACCACUGAAAAUUGGACUGUUACAAAAACUCUAUAAAAAUACGGAAAGGAGAAAUUUUGAGGUUUCAUAAUCUGUUUGCAUAAAUCAAUAAGCAAAUUCAGAAUUUAUUUCCAAUUAUUCCCUCUCAACAAAAGGAAUGGUGAAUUUCUAGUUGACUUCAAGCCCAAUAAAUAUGGGUGAAAUGGGUCAAGCUUACAACGAAGCUAGGAACAUCUUUGAUGCGAAUAUGGCAAUUUAUGAGGAGGAGAAUAACCCAAUAAAAUAAAGUGAUGGGCUAAAAAGACCUUUUUUUAAGUCUACUUCUGGAGUUUCUAAUAAGGAAGAUUUGAAUGAAGUUUCGGGUACUCUAUUACAGGUACCAAAUUCUAGUAGAUCGCCAGGCCCUGCUAAGUGGGCUAGUCGGAUACAAUGAAGCUGUUGAGUUGGAACAUUCAGGUAAAGGGGAGGUCUUGGACAGUUUGUUGUCUCCAGCAUAUGCUGAGAGGUAUAAAUCUCUCUAUAGUGUUCCUAAUUGAGAUGAAACUAUAGGGUUUUAAUAUGGAAGGAACAAGACGCAAAUGUGGAUUUCUUAAUGGGAUGGAUGUUGAUUCAUAUGGUAGAAGUGAGGGUUUAUCAAUGGGUUGGAGUAGCGAUUAUAAGGUUUGUCUUCGGUCUUUUUCGAGAAGGGACAUUGGCAUUAUGAUUGAUAAGGAUACUGAUGGUAAAACUUGGUGAUGUACGGGGUUUUAUGAAGUGCCCGAGGAGAAUCUGAGGAGGCAUCGUAAAAUUUAUUGCAUUCUUUAGAUGACUGCCCACAUAUCCCUAAGUUUGUAAUAGGGAAUUUUAAUGAAAUAGCUUAUUCAUCUGAAAAGAAAGGUGGAUUACUUCAGAGGGAGAGACAAAUGAGAAGAUUUUGGAAAGCUCUUUAUGAUUGCUCUCUUACAGAUUUGGGCUAUAGAGGACAAUGGUUUACCUGGGAAAAAGGUCGUACUCGAGCAAACAAUAUUAGGAAACAUUUGGAUCAAAGGGUAGCUAAUGCAGUUUGAUGGGAUUUAUUUCAAAAUUACAAAAUGCAUCAUCUCACGCAUUCUUUUUUAUUGCAAUCAGAUUUUGAAAAUAAUCAUGCAAAAUGGUGUCACUUCAAGUUCGAGGUUGCGUGGCUUUUGGAAGAAACGUGUGAGUCAAAUGUUCUAAAAUUAUAGACUGAAAAUUUGGUGAUGUCCUUAAUAGAUUGAAGGUGUUUGGUGUGGGCCUUAAAGCGUGGUUCAAAAGGAUUAAAAAGAUAGGGGUUUGUCGAAAAAAGAUCUUAAGAAGCAAUUCAUUAAGUUGAACAAAUCAUACCUAACUGAUGAGGUGUUGGGUGAUAUUGUUGGGAUAAAACUAGCCCUUAAUAUGGAGGCCGGUAGGGAGGAACUCUAUUGGGAACAAAGAGCCAGAGCUAAUUGGAUGAAAAAUGGUGACCGAAACACAAAAAUUGCAACAAAAAGAAGACGAAGGAAUAUGAUGGAUAAACUACUAGAUUUUGAUGAAAAUUAUUAUAAGAGCAAUGAGGAGCAGUUGUCACUUGCCACUGACUACUUUGCCUCUCUAUUCACUUCAACUAGAAUCGAAAAUCCAGGUUCUAUAUUAGAAGGGGUUGAGCCGUGCAUUACUCGAGCAAUGAACGAGGAACUUGCAAAGGAUUAUUCUUAUGAGGAUAUUUGUAUGGCGUUAAAAUCAUGAAUACAUUAAAGGCUUCUGGUGAGGAUGACUUGGGUGCAAUUUUUUUUUAUCAAUGGUUUUGGCAUAUUAUGGGUAAAGAGGUAGCAAAUUAUUGUAUUGAGAUUUUAAAUGGAGGCACAAUAUCGCUGAAAUCAACCAGACACAAAUUGUUUUAAUCCCUAAGGUUAGCUGUCCAUGACUUAUGGCUCUAUUUAAACCGAUUAGCCGUUAUAAUAUCCUUUACAAAUUUAUUGCAAAAAUGCUAGUGAAUAGGUUUUUAAAAGUCUUUCACUAUUGUAUAGAUGAGGUACAACGUGCAUUUGUACCAGGGAGGCUUAUCACUGAUAAUAUUUUAGUUGUAUAUGAAGUUUUACACUCCAUGAAAAAGAAAAAGAAAAAGAUAAGAGAUGAAGGGUCUUUUGCUUUGAAGCUUAACAUGAGUAAAGCGUAUAAUAGACUAAAGUGUGCGCUCAUUAAUGUCAUGCUUAGAAGAAUGGGUUUCUCGAAGUUGUGGGUUUAGAAAAUUAUGAGAUGUAUUGAAAUGAUUUCUUAUUCUGUGGUUAAUUUGUUUCUUCCUUAUCGGGGGCUUAAACAAGGGGGCCCACUUAAUCCUUAUUUAUUUCUUAUUUGGGGAAGGUCUGUCAUCUUUUCUUAGAAUGGCUGCUGCAAGUGGGGAUCUCAAGGGUGCUUGCAUUAAGAGACACGCUCCAGUUAUCACCCACUUGUUAUCUUUGCAAAUGACAGUCUUAUCUUUGGAAAGGCCACAGCAGAAGGGGAUAUGGUGCUUAAGGAAAGACUGGAGAUUUAUGCCAAUAGUUUGGGUCAAUUAAUAAUUUUUUAUAAGUCUGGUAUGUUUUUAGUUCCAAUGUUGAGUAGAAUAGAAAAAAAGAGGUUUAUCGAAUUUUAGGGGUUAAUCCAAACAUUAAUCCAGAAAAGUAUAUUGGUCUCCUUUAAAUCGUGGGGCAAAAUAAAAAAAGGGCUUGUAGGGAGAUAAAAGAAAAUCUAAUUAAAAGAGUGUUUAGUUAGAGUUCGAGAAUGCUUUCGGUGGGUAUAAGAGAGGCCCUUAUCAAAAUAGUAUUUCAGGCAGUUCCCAUGUAUACUAUGUCUUAUUUCUUGAUGCCCAAUUCCUUUUGUAAGGAACUUGAAACUGUUAUUGCUAGAUUUUGGUGACAGAAGAAAGUUGGGAGGAAUGGUUUACAUUGGAGUUCUUGGAAACCAUUGUGUAUUCCAAAAGAGGAUAGAGGUAUGGGUUUACGUAAUCUUUCUAAAUUUAAUAUUUCUAUAUUAGCAAAACAAUGUUAGAGAUUGAUGGAAAAUCCAGGCUCGUUAACAAGAUUAAUUCGAGCAAAAUAUUAUCAUGGUUUAAAUUUUCUAGAAGCCCCAUUGGGCUCAUACCCGUCCCUAAUUUGGAAAAGUAUAUGGUGUUCCAAAGCUUUGUUAAAAUCUGGUAUUGGAUGAAGGAUUGGAUCUGGGCUAUCUAUCUUGAUAUGGCAAGACUAUUGGUUACCGGGGAAGAAUAGAGCACUAAUUACUACAAACAAGGUAGCAAGAUUGGAAUGUGUAAGUGAUUUGAUUCUCCCAAACCCAAAUAGAAGAGAUCGACAAUUAAUCUACUCAACUUUCACGGAGGAAGAAGGAAAUUUGAUUGUAAGUAUCCCUAUACCUAUCACUAAUCAAUCUGAUAAAGUAAUAUGGUUUAGAGAAAAAUCAGGUUUUUAUUCAGUAAAAAGCAGUCACAAAGCCUUCAUCGAGCCUUCUCAUUUGAGUACUAUUGAGCAAUAUAAUUUUAAGCAAAUUUGGAGUUUAACGUGCCUAUCAAAAAUUCACAUUUUAAUGUGAAAAUUUGCAAAUAUAUAUAUUCCUACUUUCCAGAAUUUGCAUUAUAGAAGAAUUUUGUCAGAGAAUAGUUACCCGCGCUGUCAGGAUUGUAGUAAAUCACAUGUUCAUGUUGCACGAGACUGUGCAUUCACUAUGCAUGUUUGAUCAAAAUUAAAUUAUCAGUGGCCAAGUUCAAUGCGUCUAUGAGUUUUAACAACUGGUUAAACUCCAGUAACAGUAAAGGGGAAAUAGCCAUUACAAUUUGGGCAAUCUGAUUUUCCCGCAACAAACUGAUACAUGAAAGAAAAGUACAAAGUGUGGAGGAAGUUGUUACCUUUAUCAGGGGUUAUGGCAGGGAGUACAAGAGGCUUUUUGGAAUAUUACAACACCCCUGACCCAGAUAGUUGAUAAAAUGGGAGCCCCCUCCUACGAAUUGGGUCAAAGUGAAUGUUGACGUCGGUUUCUCUGAGGCAAAACAACAUGCAACAUUGGGUUUCUUAAUUAGAAAUGAUGGUCUUAAAAUAAGGUCGGGAAUCAGAACUCAUAACCUAGUUAGAUCAGUGGUGUUGGCUAAAGCGAUGGUUGUUCUUCACGGGCUCUAGUUUGCGUUGGAGAUCGGUUUCAUGAAAAUUAUUUUGGAAAGUGACUCUAAAACAAUUAUUAAAAACCUCCAAGCAACAAAGGAAGACUAUUCAGAGAUACGACCGAUUACUUGGGAUGUGAAGGCUCUUACAAUGAAAUUUUCUUCAUGUCAUUUUGAGUUCGUUGCGGGAGAAAGUAACGCAGUGGCGCAUGCGAUGGCGGUCGAAGGGAUGAGAAGAUCAGAAGACUCGUUCUGGGUUGAAGAUGCCCUAUUAAAAGCGAUGGAAAUGGCAGAUUUGGAUCGUCUUUUCAUCUGGCCACCAUAAUUUCCCUCCUCUACUGCUCGCUGCUCUGGGUUGAGAACUUCUGAUAUUCUAAAGGUAUAUCUCAACUCCCUUCCAUUGUUUGCUAGUUCUGAUUACCAGAUCUCGCAAGGUUUUGGCUGUUUGGGUUUUCUGGUCACUGAAGGGUUUGGAAGAAGCUCUAGAGUUGCAUCAUGUUUUAUUUUCUUUAUUUUAUCAGUUUGAACUUCAUUUUCUAUCUGCUUUUGUUUUGGACUUCCAAGCCCAUUUUAAUCAAAAUGAACCGUUUAUUCAAAAAAAAAAAAAACUAACUUUUUGACAAAAAAAAAAUACUUCUAAGCAAAAGCUAAAAAUUUUUGGUUGUGCUUUUGAUAAAAAAAUGAUUUUGCAAAAUAUUUGUUUGUUUCAAAAACACUUUUGAAAAGCUCAAAAGUAUAUUGUUUAGUAAUACUUUCAUCUCAAAAAUACUUUUGAAAAGCAAUACUAAUCAGACUCAAAAGUGAUUACAAUUUCUUUGUGUCCUUAGACACCUAUAGACACUCAAUUUGAUUGUUGGAACUGAAAAAAAAAAGUGUUACUUUCAUGUAUUUUCCAAUUAUUAUAUAUAAGGAGAAGGUAGUGACACACUUUUUUUUUCUCAAUUUAAAAAAAAAAAUUAAGUGAGUAGUUUAUGGGAGAGUGAGUAGUUUAUCUGACUUUUUUAAAGGUUGGAAUUAAUGAAUAUAAAAGUAAAAAGAUUGGUAAAUAUUGAUUAAUUACUGUUUUGUUUUACAUUUUCUUGAUUUAUAUUAACUUUUAAAGAGAUUUUAGUAACGUCAGUUAAGACUAUAAACUUAAUCAGAAAUAGUAAAAAACUUUAUGGCAGAAAAAAGUAAAAAAUAACUAAAAAAGAAAAAGGGAACAAAAAUAUGAUAACCUCUUAAUCCACUAAUGAAAUAAAAAUUUCACUAUAAAUAAUCUACUUCUAAAUAUAUAUACUUCCCUUUUCCGGGCCAGUGUUUCAAACUAGAAACUUCUUUGGGUCAUCUUCAUAUUAGAUUGAAGCCCAAUUUUAGGUUUAUGUACCAAAACCAAAAAUUAGUUAUGUUUGGUAAAUGAAUUUGAAUACAUGCACCACCACUCUCAAUGCUCACCCACCUAAGCCCAUGACAUAAACUGCAUUUAAGUGAACCAGUGGCAGUUGGAGCCAUUAUGUUGGUUGAAAAAUAUUGUUGGCAGUGUUAUUCAGCAGUACUUGUUCUAAGGCUCCUACUACAUUUCUCAUUAUAAAUGUGGAGAAAUCUUGUUCUACUUUCCAUUCCAUGCAACACUAACUUUUAGAUUCCCUUUCCAUUGCACUGCUCUUUCUUUCUAUAGAAUUAGUCACUCCUGUUCUAGAUGAAGGUUUUCUCCCCAAUUCUUGCUUGCCUAGCGGUAAGUUUUUCGAUUUCAUGUGAUUAUUCGUUGUUGAAUGCAAAGAACUAUGAAGGGUUUUUUUUACCUCAACUUUUCUUGUUUGUUUUUUGUUGUUACAGCUUGCUGUGGUGGCAAGUCAUGCUGCUCUCUCACCCGAGCAAUAUUGGAGCUAUAAGCUGCCAAAUACUCCAAUGCCAAAGGCUGUCAAAGAAAUUCUACAUCCAGGUGAGUGUUUAAUAUCCCAAGAAUUCUUUUUUUUUUUUGAAUCAUGUUUACUCACCGACAAAACAGGACUACUGUGAUAUAAGCCCUCAACUUGAGAUGGUCAGGAAAGUGAGGACUGUAGAAUAUCAGACCCUGGUUUCCCAUAGAAUUGAAUUGAGCCUAAUACAGCAAACAAUCAUGUAAUCGUGGAAGCCGGGUAAUAAUCAGAAAUGAGGUGCUUAACAUAGUUCUGUUCCUGCAAUUUAUUAAAAGAGAAAGAGCAGGAUACGUUCUGUUUAGCAAUAUAUUUCAGAAAACAUGGGAAUAGGAUGUGUUCUGCACAUAUUGACUUAUUAUGAAAAAAAUUGUUGGAAUCAUGCAUUCAUCAGCAUGUAUAUGAGCUCUCUAGCCCAUUUUGGUGUAUUUGCAGAACUGAUGGAGGAGAAAAGUACCUCUGUAAAUGUAGGAGGUGGUGGUGUAAACGUCAAUACAGGAAAAGGGAAGCCUGGGGGUGACACCCAUGUGAACGUUGGAGGCAAAGGAGUUGGAGUGAACACGGGAAAGCCAGGGGGUGGCACUCAUGUGAAUGUUGGAGACCCUUUUAAUUACCUAUAUGCAGCCAGUGAAACUCAAAUCCAUGAAGACCCGAAUGUGGCUCUUUUCUUUCUGGAAAAGGAUAUGCACCCCGGGGCAACAAUGAGCCUGCAUUUCACUGAAAAUACAGAGAAAUCAGCUUUCUUACCUUAUCAAACUGCCCAAAAAAUACCGUUUUCAUCUGACAAGUUGCCAGAAAUUUUCAACAAGUUUUCAGUGAAACCUGGAUCACUGAAGGCAGAGAUGAUGAAGAACACAAUUACGGAGUGCGAACAGCCAGCGAUUGAAGGAGAGGAAAAAUAUUGUGCAACCUCACUGGAGUCAAUGAUUGACUAUAGCAUUUCCAAACUAGGGAAAGUUGAUCAGGCAGUCUCAACAGAAGUGGAAAAACAAACCCCAAUGCAAAAGUAUACAAUAGCAGCUGGAGUGCAGAAGAUGACAGAUGACAAAGCUGUAGUGUGCCACAAGCAGAAUUAUGCAUAUGCUGUCUUCUAUUGCCAUAAAUCAGAAACAACAAGGGCUUACAUGGUUCCUUUAGAGGGUGCUGACGGAACAAAAGCCAAAGCAGUAGCAGUCUGCCACAC
rnacentral:lncRNA from 1 species